GGAUCACAGUGGAGCUGCAGCUGGAUAUGUUCAGUAAAGAAACCUUACAAAAGUUAACAAUAAACCUGCAUCUCUGUACGUUGUUGUCCACAGGAUGAGAAAAUCAAACUGGAAGACUGUGGAACAUGUUAAUAAAUGUUUGUGUUUAUCCCUGUGUCUUUCACAGGAGGCGCUGAAAGGUUUCCCUAAUAGUUCCUGGUGAAUCAAAGCAGAACCAUAAAGGUUGCUGGACUGCAUGAUGGCCUUACCCCUGAGCAGUCAUCCUGUUAAAGGAGGAACUAGUUAGAAGCUGUUUUCAAAGUAGCAGAGCAGAUUUCAUCUCAACAGACAAAGCCGAUGGCAGAAGAUGUUUGGAGAAGAACUUCAGGCCGUGUACUGACAAGAUCAAAGCAGCUCGUGCUCUUUCUGCUUCCAUUUUGAUGGCAAGAAGAAGAAAAAGAAGAAGAAGAAGACUUCAGCGACGUGGCGUUCAUGGUCUCAGUGGACAGUCAUGGUCACAUACUGCAUGUGGUUUUAAAAGCAACAUGUCUGUUCACCACAACAAUCGAGAUGUGUAAUAUCAGUGCAGCUACGGUUUGUUCUUGAACAUCAGUUCUGUUUUCUACUUUGACCACUUAGACCAAAAAAGUGUUGUUUUCAGAUUCUUUCUUUUAAAUCUGUAAAGCACCUGUUCAUUUUUUAUUACAAUUAGUUUCACAUAAAUAGUAGUGUUUCCUUUAUGAUCUUUUAAUGCUUACACUACACUGUACACGUCUACAUUAGAGACAUUUCUG